UUUUAGGAAUGUGCUCUUUUAGUACCUUGGAGUGGAAUUUGGGUGCAAUUUCUGUAAUUUCUUACACUUACCACAGUACCUUAAAGAUUCUAAUUAUUUUACCUUAACUGCCUUUUAUAAUACUUUAAUUGUUUAUUACCUUAAUACAUUUAUUGUAGGCUUAAAAUUAAAGAUACUGUUUGAUUAGCUCUGCACCCAUCUACAAGCGAAGGGAUAACUUUUUUUGUGGUACCAGCCAAAUUCUCCCAUAUCCUCCACCAAGAUAAAUGAUAUCAUGUUUUCUUUUCUAAUAUCAAUACUCCUAACUGUGAGCUAAUGGCCAUAUUAAUCCAAAUAUCAAAAUACAAAUUUUGUAAAAUUAUCCAUCUAGUGUAAAAUGUGAAUCUGUAGCACUUUUUUGAGUUCCUCUGACAGCUCUUUUUAGGUCAUAAAAACUUCCUCUUAAAAAAAGAACAUGGGGAUAUUACAUAAUCUUCAGUAACCACUUUCUCUUGAUCAGGUUUUUUCACUAUCAAGGUAAAAGGAUGUGUAUAUGAGAACAUUUUACAUGAGGAGCUUAAAUCUGGAAGUUAAAUACGAAGUAAAUUCCACAGUUUUGAAAUGGCUUAGUCAUGUGGAAAAGAAACACCCUUCUGCAAUUCUGUGUUUGUUUAUCAGAGCCUAGAUAAUAAUUUUAUGGUUCUCAUAAUUUCUAUAGACAAAUAAAAAAUUUCAGGUCACAAAAAAAACUACAACAAUAUUUAAACAUACAAUUCUAUUCUUCCCAGAAGUGAGCAUGAAUGAAUGAAAUUGGGCUAUAGAAGCAUUGAUUAUCAUCACAUAUACAUUAAAGGAGUUUUCUCUGGCUGCUUUGGCUGGGAUUAAAUGCCACGGUGGUUUCCCCACCACCCUCUUCAACCUGCACGAGCCUGAGGAAGAGGACCUGUGCCUUAAUCGCUGUGUAGCCAAGGACUUUGAGAGCUGUGGAAAUGACGAAUACUUUGUAGUUUACCAAACCCAAGUGCAAGGUUUUAAAGGCGAGAGGGACCACUGGCGCAGUGGCAGGACAGUUUGCAUAAAGACACACGAGAGCGGAAGGAAAGAAAUCGACGCCUUCGACUCCAGCAUUCUGAUGAUCCGCAACCCCUACAAGGCCCUCAUGGCUGAAUUCAACCGCAAGUAUGGCGGCCAUAUUGGAUUCGCUUCUCAGGCUCAGGCUCUGGAAAGGAAAGGGUCAGAUUGAGUAUACAUGACAGUUGCAUUGGAAGAUUUAGCAAUUAGACAAUAGAUUUUGCAAUUUUUAUU